UACGUAGGGGGCAAGCGUUGUCCGGAUUUAUUGGGCGUAAAGCGCGUGUAGGCGGCCAGGUAGGUCCGCUGUGAAAACCCGAGGCUCAACCUCGGGACGUCGGCGGAAACCAUCUGGCUAGAGUCCGGAAGAGGAGAGUGGAAUUCCCGGUGUAGCGGUGAAAUGCGCAGAUAUCGGGAAGAACACCCGUGGCGAAGGCGGCUCUCUGGGACGGUACUGACGCUGAGACGCGAAAGCGUGGGA
rnacentral:rRNA from 1 species